rnacentral:ribozyme from 1 species
UCACAAUUUCAAGGCCAUAGCAGAAGCAUUCAUGGUGCAGUCUGUCAGAUUCCAAUGAAUCUUCAAAUUCUAUU